GACGAACGCUGGCGGCGUGCCUAAUACAUGCAAGUUGAGCGCUGAAGGUUGGUACUUGUACCAACUGGAUGAGCAGCGAACGGGUGAGUAACACGUGGGGAAUCUGCCUUUGAGCGGGGGACAACAUUUGGAAACGAAUGCUAAUACCGCAUAAAAACUUUAAACACAAGUUUUAAGUUUGAAAGAUGCAAUUGCAUCACUCAAAGAUGAUCCCGCGUUGUAUUAGCUAGUUGGUGAGGUAAAGGCUCACCAAGGCGAUGAUACAUAGCCGACCUGAGAGGGUGAUCGGCCACAUUGGGACUGAGACACGGCCCAAACUCCUACGGGAGGCAGCAGUAGGGAAUCUUCGGCAAUGGACGAAAGUCUGACCGAGCAACGCCGCGUGAGUGAAGAAGGUUGUCGGAUCGUAAAACUCUGUUGGUAGAGAAGAACGUUGGUGAGAGUGGAAAGCUCAUCAAGUGACGGUAACUACCCAGAAAGGGACGGCUAACUACGUG
rnacentral:rRNA from 1 species